UGANGANUAUUGGUCAAUGGGCGAGAGCCUGAACCAGCCAAGUAGCGUGCAGGAUGACGGCCCUAUGGGUUGUAAACUGCUUUUGUAUGGGGAUAAAGUCAAUCACGUGUGAUUGUUUGCAGGUACCAUACGAAUAAGGACCGGCUAAUUCCGUGCCAGCAGCCGCGGUAAUACGGAAGGUUCGGGCGUUAUCCGGAUUUAUUGGGUUUAAAGGGAGCGUAGGCCGGAGAUUAAGUGUGUUGUGAAAUGUAGACGCUCAACGUCUGACUUGCAGCGCAUACUGGUUUCCUUGAGUACGCACAACGUUGGCGGAAUUCGUCGUGUAGCGGUGAAAUGCUUAGAUAUGACGAAGAACUCCGAUUGCGAAGGCAGCUGACGGGAGCGCAACUGACGCUGAAGCUCGAAGGUGCGGGUAUCGAACAGGAUUAGAUACCCUGGUAGUCCGCACAGUAAACGAUGGAUGCCCGCUGUUGGUACCUGGUAUCAGCGGCUAAGCGAAAGCAUUAAGCAUCCCACCUGGGGAGUACGCCGGCAACGGUG
rnacentral:rRNA from 1 species